rnacentral:rRNA from 1 species
UAAGCAUAUCAAUAAGCGGAGGAAAAGAAACCAACCGGGAUUGCCCUAGUAACGGCGAGUGAAGCGGCAAAAGCUCAAAUUUGAAAUCUGGCAUCUUUGAUGUCCGAGUUGUAAUUUGAAGAGGUUACUUUGGAGGCUGGCUCUUGUCUAUGUUCCUUGGAACAGGACGUCAUGGAGGGUGAGAAUCCCGUCUGGCGAGAGUUUCAGUUUUCAUGUAAAGUAGCAUUCGACGAGUCGAGUUGUUUGGGAAUGCAGCUCUAAGUGGGUGGUAAAUUCCAUCUAAAGCUAAAUAUUGGCGAGAGACCGAUAGCGAACAAGUACAGUGAUGGAAAGAUGAAAAGAACUUUGAAAAGAGAGUGAAAAAGUACGUGAAAUUGUUGAAAGGGAAGGGCAUUUGAUCAGACAUGGUGUUUCGUGCUUCUUGCUCCUUGUGGGCGGGGAGACUCACACGGUUCACUGGGCCAACAUCAGUUUUGGCAGCAGGAUAAAACUUUGGGAACGUAGCUUUCUUCGGGAAGUGUUAUAGCCCUUGGCAAUACUGCUAGCCGGGAUUGAGGACUGCGCAUUUAUGCAAGGAUGUUGGCUUAAUGGUUAAAUGCCGCCCGU